rnacentral:misc_RNA from 1 species
GGGGAGAGGAAAUGCUGCUAGUUAUAAUUCAAACAUAAAGAAAUCUACCUCAGAGGAAAUCUCCCUGUUUUUAUGAUGAAGCAAACCCAAAGAAACAGGAACACUGGGCAAUUUCUGUUCAGGCUGAAUCCUCCACUCCUUGCAGACAGUAUUUCAUUGUGCAAGAAUACAUACGAAAAAUAUUUCCACUUCCUAUUCCAACUUGCAGAGUAAAACAGAAGGAGUUGAGAAGCUAACCAAACGAAAAGCAAGAGUGCAAUUGCAAUCUGACUGCUGUCCAUAACCCACGUAUUUAAUACCCAAGUCAAGGAGCAAUUGAUAAUAAAAGCCCAAACUCCAUAAUAAAGAUUCUAACAGUCUCUCUUUGAGUUUUUCUGUAAUUCCUAAAGACUUGAUAAAGUUACAGAACAUAGUCGGGGUUGUUGCAUCAUCAAGCACAUAAAAGGCCACAAAAGAAAGGUGUAAGACCAACCAACAAAACAAAAGGAAUGCACUCAAUUUGUCUGCAUUGCUUCUGAGUGAUACUUCUCCAGAUCAGCAUCAAGAUCUUCUGCAGAUACCUUUUCAGCAUGGCCCCUUCCACGUCCACGACCCCUUCCAAAUCCACGGCCACUGCCACCACGUGCCCGCCCCAUCGCACCACCUCUUCCUUGUCCCCUAAAAAAGAAGGCAGGGAAAAUUACUCAAACACACUGUAACAAAACCUUUGACAAACACUGCUUUGUAAACAAUUACUACAUAACUAAAUGCAAACCUAUCAAUAAGAAUUUGUAAGAGAGUAUAAGCAAGCCAAACCUAGGACAGAUAGCUAUUGUAUUACCCACAAGACUAAACCUUUUCUAGGUAAGUAUACAGACCCAAACAAAUCAGUGUCACAAGCAGCAUCGCAUCGUAUAAAUAAAGGUACUUUUGCCACACAAAGGAUGAAAAAAUCAAUAUGAUACAUAGAUUGUUUAAACCCAAUAUUAUUGUUGAAAGACACGCACAUAAAAGGCAUACAAUAAUCAACACAUCAAAAUAUAUUUCACAAGCAAAUAAAUGUAACAAUAUCAAAUUUAGAACCACAUACACAAUAUGUCAAGAUUUGACUAAAAAUUAGAAAACAGUUUACAUUUUUUUUAAAGAAAAAGCAAAAUUUCAAAUUCUAAGAAAAUUCACUACCAAAAAAGAGAUAUAGUUGCAUAACUGACAGCAGCAGUAUUAAUAAUCAUUGAAUAGUUCAAAUCAGAAAUCAACUGCAAACAUAUUCAAGAACCAUAGUUUGGCAAUCACAUGCAAAUCACUUUUGAGGUCAUUCAACUACUUUAAACAAAACCAUAAUUUCUCCAUGAGACUUCAGCACAUCCUUCUUAGGAGCAAACUUUCGUUGAACUGUAAGAUUUCAUCUCUAGAACAAUUAUAAUGAUUCUUCACUUUCUAUCCUAGAUAACAAAAUCUAACUAAACCUUUUACAACAAAUAAAUGCUAUUCAAAACCCAAUUUCUAAACCUGCUGAAACUUAUUUAUCAAGAUCUAAGUGAUAAUCAAUAACAAAAUUCAUUAUGGGUAGCCGUGCAAGAAACAUAAUAAAUUGGCUACUUUUCAAACCAUGAAUCACAAUUAGAAAGUGCAGGAAGUAAAACAAAAGGAAGCACAAGGCAAACCCUCUAGGAGCUCCAUUUGAAUUUCCAAAUGUGCCAUUAGCAGCUGGAGGUACACCAGGAGUAGCAAUAUUUGUUCCCACAAUCUCUAUCUUCAUUGGUUUCCCAUCAAGCUGAACAUUGUUGUAUCUCUUCACAGCAGCCAAGGCAUCUGUUCGCCGAGAGAAGACUACUUCUGCCGUUCCCUUCGAUCUCCCACUCCUAUCAUAAUGGAUUGAGUACCGCUUCAAAUCGCCAACUUCGGAAAACAAUUCCUUAACAUCCUCAUUGGAGACACCAUAAUCUAGAUUAGAAAUGUAAAGCUUGGUUCCAGUCUCUAUAGCAGAGGCCCGACCUGCUUGCCCCGAGUAACCCAUACCCUGAUCCGUAAACAUGUCGUGCUGCCACGCCGUUUCAGGCGCCUUAGCGGUGGUAUAGGGCGCAGCUCGAUUAGCACCACGGUUGGCCAAACGGCGAGCAGGUCCGGGUCCGGAAGCCCUGCCGCGACCUCUUGCGUUACCAGAUCCAGACUUUUUAUUGCUCUUGAUGAUAUCGUCAAGGGACAUAUCCAAAGCGCUAGACAUUUUUUGGUCAAAAUUUGUAUAAUUUACUAAACAGAUUAGAUAAAAACAAAAUACUGUAAAGCAGGAAGAGAAAGAAAUCAGAUGAUGAAAGAAGAGGCCAGAGGAGGAGGAAGAUAGGGUUUUCGUCAAGGAAUAGAGCCGCAAUUGGAAUCGUAGCAUGGGU